rnacentral:rRNA from 1 species
UACGUAGGGCGCAAGCGUUUGUCCGGAUUUAUUGGGCGUAAAGAGCUCGUAGGCGGUUUGGUAAGUCUGGUGUGAAAUCUCCACGCUCAACGUGGAGGGGCCACCCGAUACUGCCAUGACUGGAGUCCGGUAGAGGAGUGUGGAAUUCCCGGUGUAGCGGUGAAAUGCGCAGAUAUCGGGAGGAACACCCGUAGCGAAGGCGGCACUCUGGGCCGGUACUGACGCUGAGGAGCGAAAGCGUGGGGAGCAAACAGGG